rnacentral:rRNA from 1 species
AUUCGAUUAACGCGAAGAACCUUACCGGGUCUUGACAUCUUCUGCUAACCUAAGAGAUUAGGCGUUCCCUUCGGGGACGAAAUGACAGGUGGUGCAUGGUUGUCGUCAGCUCGUGUCGUGAGAUGUUGGGUUAAGUCCCGCAACGAGCGCAACCCUUAUGACUAGUUGCCAGCAUUUAGUUGGGCACUCUAGUAAGACUGCCGGUGACAAACCGGAGGAAGGUGGGGAUGACGUCAAAUCAUCAUGCCCCUUAUGACCUGGGCUACACACGUGCUACAAUGGAUGGUACAACGAGUUGCGAGACCGCGAGGUCAAGCUAAUCUCUUAAAGCCAUUCUCAGUUCGGACUGUAGGCUGCAACUCGCCUACACGAAGUCGGAAUCGCUAGUAAUCGCGGAUCAGCACGCCGCGGUGAAUACGUUCCCGGGUC